CCUACGGGUGGCUGCAGUGAGGAAUAUUGGUCAAUGGGCGGGAGCCUGAACCAGCCAAGUCGCGUGAGGGAAGAUGGUCCUAUGGAUUGUAAACUCCUUUAGGCGGGGAGAAAUGCCGGGCACGCGAGCCCGGAGGGAGUGUACCCGCAGGAUAAGCAUCGACUAACUCCGUGCCAGCAGACGCGGUAAUAGCGGGGGUGCGCGCGUUAGCCGCAUUUAUUGGGUUUAGGGUGUGCGGAGGCGGAUUUUUAAGUCAGCGGUAAACUGUCCGGUCGCAACCCGGGCGGGCCGUUGAUACUGGGGAUCUUGAGUGGGCGAGAAGUAUGCGGAAUGCGUGGUGUAGCGGUGAAAUGCAUAGAUAUCACGCAGAACUCCGAUUGCGAAGGCAGCAUACCGGCGCCCGACUGACGCUGAGGCACGAAAGCGUGGGGAUCGAACAGGAUUAGAUACCCGGGUAGUC
rnacentral:rRNA from 1 species